CGGAAUGUACAAGUCAAGUUAGGCUAAAGAAAGUUUUAUUGAAUACUUUUCCUUCUUUCUACGUGUUAUGUAUCUUAAGCCAUUUUAACCAAGGUCGGUUAACUUAAGCUGUUCAUUACCUUUCGGUCGAAACAUGUGUGACAGGUAUGGACAAAAUAUGAAUUAUAAAUAUAACCUGUCUACCUGCUGAUAACUACCCACAAAGGGUACCAUUUUUUCUCGUAAUAUUACCUUUUUUUUCUUUUUGUGUUAUUUAAGUUAACAUUUCUAUUUAUUUAUUAUGCAGUAGUAAAAUAUAUGGUUUCAGAGAAAAUAUUUGGUCAUAUUUGUUUUUUCUCGUAAUAUUAUCUUUUUCUCUUUUACGUACUUUAUCUUAAACGCUUUACGCAGAUUAACCAUAGGUCUAUCGUAUCGAUGUAUAAACUUCUUUGUUUAUUCCCCUUCCCGAUAUAUAACAAUUGAUUUCGUGUAGGUAGUAAAUAGAGUAACAGUAGAUUGUGAACUCACAUUUUUCAGUUUCUCGUACGUCUUUUGACGAAGCGUGGACUCUCGGCGAUCUGGCUAGAUACGGCGUAGUACGUAUUUGUUUUACGAUAAAUGCAUAGAAAAUAAAAAAUAUAAUUGACAUAUAUAAGAACUGAUAUAUAAAUUUGUGACAGAAAGUAAGGUUUUAUCGAAUGUUUUCUUAAAAAUAAUUACGGAAUAAGUAUUUAUGUAUUAUAUUAUUUUAAUACAAAGAAUAUGAAGUGAACUCGUACAGAAGAAACCAUAAUAAAAUAGCGCUAGGAAAAAAUCUUGUAUAUCUACAAGAUCUAUCGCAUGAAAACGAACUUGUAUUUUGAUUUUUAUUAAAAAUAAUAUAUAAUAUAUGUUCACUAAUCAUUAAUUUUGAAAAAAAUAGUCGACAGAUUUAUAUACUUUACAUGCAUUUGUCAUUAAACAAAAUUAUACUGCUGCUGUGUUCUAUCUAGCAUAGAUCAUGGCGAAAUUCAUUUCAAUCAUUGGUAGAAAAAAUAGAUAUAAGAGAUUGAAUGGUAACAUCUUGCUAAAUCAUCAAAUAGGCAGGAAAGAAUAAAUUAGUUCAUUAUUUUCAUUUACAUCGAUAAAAUACAAAAAAAAAAAAAAUCAUCGGAAUCAUUUAAGUCUCGAACCUACAAUUUCUGAAUAACGAAUGUAGUUGCUUGCUAAUGUACUACACAUUGUUUAUAGAAUCUUUAUCUUUUUAGCUUGUAAAACCUAAAAGAAACUAUAAAAUUUUCAAAAAUUGAACAAUAUUUUAGAAACUCAGAUCCAUUGACAUGAACGAUUGGACACGUAUUUCCUUAUUUUUGCUAUAGAAUCGUCUGUCCAAAGCUCGUUAAAAUGAUCGAAUGAAUUAUAGUAGCUUCUCGGUGCGAGUAUCGUGAAAUGCAUUUCUUUGCGUUUGAGAAUGUUUAGAAAAUUUGAGCAUCAACUAUUUACGCACAUAAACAAGCAGACAAUUGCUACUUCGCGGAACACAUACAUCAUUCAAGCGUUGUAUAAAAAUUAGCAGCGGAGAUACAAGCUCUUUCUCCUUUGCUGCAAAUUUUAAAGGGUGCCAUUUUUUCUCGUAAUAUUACCUUUUUUCUUUUUGUAUUAUUUAAAUUAACAUUUCUCUUUAUUUAUUACGUAGUAGUAAAAUAUAUGAUUUCAAAGAAAAUAUUUGAUCAUAUUUGUUUUCUUUCGUAAUAUUAUCUUUUUCUUUUUUACGUACUUUAUCUAAAUACGCUUUACGCAGAUUAAUCAAUAUUUCUUAUUACGCGGUUGAAAGAGCCGAAAAGGAUAUGAGUAGGGAUGAAAUGAAUUUCUCGACUAAUCCCUUUUAAUACGACAUAAGAAAUAAUCCAUAUUGCAUAGAUAAAUUUUAUUGGUCGCUCCCUAUCAAGGAAUAUUUAUUAAGAAGAAAUUAAUUUUUUUUUAUAUUCUAUCAUAAUAAAAAUAUCUCGUGGACAGUAAUAUAUAAAUUUUUCGUCCCAUGUCUCAAACAGCGGCCACAUCUGCUUUUAUUAUUGUUGUUAUUAUUAUUAAACAUCAGCUAACAUCGUUCCUUGAACAAUUACCGUUUCUAUGAACAAUCAUAUUUGUAAAAAAAUCGUUUCGAAUAAUCCUUCUUCAAAAACAUUCUUUAUCUACCAUGAUCCUAUAGAAUGUCAAGCAUUUAAUUUUCGAAGUGUUAUCAUUUAAAACGGUGUACUUUAACAUUUUGCGUUUUUUAUUACAAUUUAUCGGCGGUGACAUGAUGCUGUGAUCGAGAUUAAAGAAGAAGAAGAUAAAAUUUAUAAUGGCAGUGACAACGAACUUUAACGAGACAAAUAUGGCUCUGUUUACAAAGGUUUAUUUGAACGGUGGAACGAGGAAACAGAAUCUUUUUUCAAAGAACUGAAAGGUGGGCAGCUUUAACUAGAGGAUAUAAUCGAUUAAGGUGAGAUAGACUAUCGAGGGGUCGUCUGACGAUGUACGCGGGACAUGAAUCAAAAUGGAAUUUUUCCUUGAAUAAGCGAAUAUUUUAUCGAGGAAUUUUUUUGAAAUCCGACUUUUUAUAUCCUUAAAAGAAGUUGACGUAGAGAGUCAAAAAGAGAAAAUAAAGAUUAAUUAUAAUGUUAACAGUAUUUCUGGAUAUUGAAUUAAUGAUAAUUUGGAUAGCACUUGUUUAGAAAACCAUAGAUACGAUAAUAAUAUUUAUUUCAAGAUCAACGGUGAAAUUAGGAAUGAUAAGAAAAAUCUUAAAGAGAUUAAUGAUGAUUUUAAAAGGAAAAGUUUGUUAAUCGAUGCUAAAGUAGAAAAAAAAGAAGAGAAGAAGAAGGAGAAGAGGAGGAAGAGGACGGAGAAGAAGUUGAAGAAAAGGAGAAAAAAGAAGAAGAAAAAGUUGAAGAAAAGGAGAAAGAAGAAGAAGCGGAAGAAGAAGAAGUUCAAGAUAAGGAUAAAGAUUAUAAGCCUACGCUCGUUUAUGAUUCAAUCGACGAUAGGUUUUAUCUCGACAAUAAUGAUUCCAAAGAUAAAUUCAAUUCUAAUCAAAACGAUGUUGAUGUCUAACUAAUCAUUGAUUUAGCAAAUUUCGAUUUGAAUUCGAAAAUACAUAACAAGAUGUAUCGGAAAAACGAAGCUAAUGGAUGAUCGAGGCCAAUAAUAAUAAUAUAGAAACAAUAGAAAAUUAUAUCGAGAAAAAAAACGAUUAUGAGAAUGGAAGGAUUAAUCAUGGAUUAAAAAAUGAAUUCAGAAAGAAUCAAAAUGAAACUAAGAGAGAUUUAAUUUUCAAGAUAAACCUGCAAGCACGAGGUUCACGUGGCAAAUCAAAAGAUUUACUGUUAAUCAAGAUAGAAUUGUUAGGCCAGGAAUACUUUUAAAUUGUACAUUUACGUCGCCGGGUCAUCAUUAUUCCAUCAAUUUAAAAUAAGUAAUGUCAAAAUUUUCUUUGCGAAAAAUAAUUAAAAAUAAAUAAAUGAAUACACAGAAAGGAAUAAAGACUUCUCUCUCUCAGAAGAAGAUAAACAAAAUUCGAUUGUCAGAGAGUAAAAUGAUCAAAGAAAAAAUGAUCAAAGGAUAUGAAUAUGGAGAAUGAUGGUUAGAGAGAAUCAAAAGGAGAAGAAAGAAUCAGAAAAAGAAAAGAAAGAUAAAGAGAAACAAAUAUUACCCGUAACGGUAUUAUCGAUCCAAAUUUAUUGGUAACAUUGCGAUGAGAUUACCGGGGAUGAUAUGCUCGUCAAGAUGUGAAAAAUUGUGAGGAGAUCUAAAUAGCGCAUGCUCGGAUCAAUGUCUGGAACUCGGAGAGAUGGUGUGAGGGGAAACAGGGAAGAGAAACCGAGAUUUAAUAUUUCAAUCGAUCCUAUUUGUUAAAAGACGCUAAAAGCUAUACAAAGAGUACUAGACAAGUUGCUUAUUUUGAAUCGAAUCGCCGGCAUGAUCAAGAUAGAACCACGUAAUAGAAGCAAAGUAAUCUAUUUAACGAAAAAGGAGAAAGGAAAGAACAAGAAUGCAAUUGUUUAAUGAAAUUUUAAAGAAAUUCCGAAGAAGAAGACGAUCUAGAGGAAAGAUAGGAUUAAAACCGGAACCUGCAACCGUAUUGAGAACUGUCCUUAAUAUUCUCCACUACGUUCUGGGCAAUUUUUAUGGCAAUGAAUUUCACCAUCCGACCGAUGUAAACAAUGUUACAACCAAUGGAAAAAUGGUUACAUAAAAAGGUUGCAUAAAAGUUAACAUAGAAGUAUAUGCGAUUGAUGUGUUCUUUAGUGUUUUUCAUCUAGCACUCCAACUAUUUGUCAUUAAGUAACCAAAGACAUUUUGGGACGGUUUAUCUGGUACAAAAUAAUAAUGUUUUAUUUUCAAUGAAAAAAAAGGAAAGAAAUCAAAUAAAGUGUUAAUUUAAUAUUUCGUUUAAUACACAAGGCAUAGAUUUCGUUGCAAAGCUCAAAUUUUUUGAAUUGGAACAUGCGUUUUCGUUUUAUAAAUACAGACGGAGUAUUUGAAGAAGUACUCGAUCGACAUAUUAAAGAUUAUUAUGAGAAUUCUGUGAAGAAAGAAAAUAUCGACGCCUUGCAAUUCGCUUUUCAUUCCUGCGGAAACAAAAAUUAUAUCGUUUGGUUGUCCGUAAAUCUACCCUACAUUCGAAUAUCAUUUUGCAUAGAACUAAAAAAUUGCAGCACUGCUUACCUUAAUAAUACACACACCAAGGGUUGCUAUAAAAGUGUAUUAAACGUUAUAAAAUUCAAACGUCAUUUAUCUUAUUGAUAAUGUGAAGUGGAGAAGAUUAAGGACAAUUCUCAACAUGAUCGCAGGUUCCGGUUUUAAUCCUAUCUUUCCUCUAGAUCGUCUUCUUCUUCGGAACUUCUUUGCAAUUUGAUUAAACAAUUGCUUCCCUGUUCCUUCUCUUCCUCUUCUUCGUUAAAUAGAUUACUUUUCUUCUUAUUACGUGGUUCUGCCUUGAGGUGAUAUAUCUGGUUACGUUGGCGAUUUGAUUCAGAAUAAACAGCUUAUCCAACUUUUUUGUAGGUUGUACCCGUUUUUAACGAAUAGAAUCGAUUCGAGUAUCGAAUCCUGCUUGUUCGAGGAAAAACUGAUAUAUGAUCCGCGUACAUCGUCAGUUCCAAUAUUUUUUUUGACCUCAAUGGAUUAUAACCUGUAGCUAAAGCUGUCCAUCUUUGAAUCCUUCGAAAAAGGUAUUUUAUCUCUCCGUUCCACCAUUUCAAUAAAGCUUUGUAAGACAGCACCACAUUAAACUCAUCAAAGUUCGUUGUGACUUCCAUUAUAAAUUUUGUCUUCUUCCUCUUUAAUCUCGAUCAUAUAAUGAACAUGAUAUGGAUCUUAGCGAAACACUUAAAAACAUAGACGAUGUUUGAAAAGGAAAUGCCUUGCCAUUAAAUCCAGCAAAUUGAUUUAUAGUAUUCCCAAAAAGCACUGCAAAUAUUUUGGAAGCCGUUGAUAAUUUUAGAUAAUAUAAUUUCGUUGAUUCUAACCGUUACCAUGUAAUUUAAUGUGUGCUCUCUAUACAUAAGGUAUAUAGACAUGUAUUUUUUUUGAAUUUGUACUAAACUAAAGCAUCAUGUCAUUGCUGAUGAAUUUUAACAAAAAACAAAAUGUUAAAAUACAGAUGUUUUAGAUGAUUAUACCCGACAACUUUGAAAAUUAAAUGUUCGUCAUUUCAUUAAAUCAUAGUAAAUGAAGAAUAUGUUUUUGACGAAGGAUUAUUCGAAACGAUUUUCUUAAAAAUGUAAUUGUUCAUAAGAAUAAUAAAUAUUCAAGGAACGAUGUAACUUAUGUUUUAUAAUAAUAAUAAUAAUAAUAAUAGUAAUUUAUAUUAAAAAAUAAAUAAUAAUAAAAGCUUUUACAAAAAGAA